CUCCAGACUCCUACGGGAGGCAGCAGUGGGGAAUAUUGCACAAUGGGGGAAACCCUGAUGCAGCGACGCCGCGUGAGCGAUGAAGUAUUUCGGUAUGUAAAGCUCUCUCAGCAGGGAAGAAGAUGACGGUACCUGACUAAGAAGCCCCGGCUAACUACGUGCCAGCAGCCGCGGUAAUACGUAGGGGGCAAGCGUUAUCCGGAUUUACUGGGUGUAAAGGGAGCGUAGACGGCGAUGCAAGCCAGAUGUGAAAGCCCGGGGCUCAACCCCGGGACUGCAUUUGGAACUGUGUGGCUGGAGUGUCGGAGAGGCAGGCGGAAUUCCUAGUGUAGCGGUGAAAUGCGUAGAUAUUAGGAGGAACACCAGUGGCGAAGGCGGCCUGCUGGACGAUGACUGACGUUGAGGCUCGAAAGCGUGGGGAGCAAACAGGAUUAGAUACCCGCGUA
rnacentral:rRNA from 1 species